AAGUCGUAACAAGGUUUCCGUAGGUGAACCUGCGGAAGGAUCAUUACCAAUUCGAUAGGUGCCUUGGGUUUUCGCGACCCCUGGCACUUUCAACCAACCCUUGAUUGUGAAUCUGUCCCUUCCAAGUCUUCCCGCGUGCGUGCGUGCGUGCGUGCGUGUUGAGGGUUUUUCGAAACCCCCACACACACACCGCCACACACACACACGGGGAGCAAUUUUAUCCAACCCCAUAAAAAUCAUUGCUCCCCCAUGGAUGAGCGGUGAAAAAAGCAAGCGUUGAGCUCCGAACAACAGUUGAAAAACAAAACAAUGUCGUAUACAACUUUUAACGGCGGAUCUCUUGGCUCGU
rnacentral:misc_RNA from 1 species